CUUGUACACCAUUGCCUGCCUGGGGAUGAUGCUCCAAGAUGGCCAAGAGAGUCUGAUCUACAUGUGUAAGUCCUUUUUGGUAUGCUUUUCAUUUCCAGUGUUGCAUUCAUUGAUAUUCAUUAAUCAUUUGUUUUCAGUUAAUUCAUUAAAUCGAUGUGUCCAAUAGAUACAUAGACAACAACCAGAACUCCUAGGGCACAUUCCAGAAAGAUGACCCCCUCAAUCCCUCUCCUUAACCCCACCACCCCUACCUUGAUCCAUAUUAAACUUUCACAUAUACCUCUGUCCUCUCUCUCCCCUAUCUGCAAUAUGCUACCGUCCCAAGCAAAGCUUCCCUACAAAAAUCCAAUGUGAUGUUUUCACAAGUCUGACUUUCUCCCCACCAACAGGUUGAGGGGUGAUUUUGAAUAGGAUCCAAGCAAUCAGAUGAAGGAAGAGUUGGAGUGUAUGAUCCAGAGACAAGAAGUAAAAAAUAUGCAAAGAAGAAAAAAUAACACGUGGAAAGGUCCAAGUUACGAAAGAACUCCCAGGAGAUCUGGAGAUCACCUUGGUGUUAGGUCACGACACUACGUAGGAGAAUGCUGCAAGAAAGAAGAGUUGGAGAACAAUACAGGGUUCAGUCAGACACAGGUUUGCAUUCUAGCAUAACACUUCUUAUUUCUUCUACCUAAAGCCGGCCCCUUAACUUUGCUGAGACUCAGUUUUUGUCCAUAAAAAAGACUGAUGACAUCAAUCGUGAUGGUGUAGUUUCCCCCACUUCACAGGUGACACAAAGAAAGUGACACGAAGACAUGCUAGCCUGUGCUUUGAGCUGGACGGGUACUGAGUGCCAGAGCCAGGCUCAUGCCCAGGUCUCCCCAGUGCCCAAGGUCAGUUCCUUUGCAUGAACUCAUUUAGGCUGAGUAACGGGACAGCACAUGAACAAAUGGCUGGGGCAUUAUUUAAAAACCCCACUCACUUUCUCUCCCAUCUAAAUGUCAGCCUCAGUCCCUGCCACUGAAUGUUGCAGCCCCCUGCCCACACCAGCAAGGCUAACUUGGCGGAUCAACGGGGUUUUAAUGUUUUCCUUAAUCUGGCAUCAGUUCAGCAAGAGGCGAAAGAAUCUCUGCCUUUUCCAAUUAGAC
rnacentral:lncRNA from 1 species